rnacentral:rRNA from 1 species
AACGAACGCUGGCGGCAUGCCUAACACAUGCCAGUCGAACGAGACCUUCGGGUCUAGUGGCGCACGGGUGCGUAACGCGUGGGAACCUGCCCUUAGGUUCGGAAUAACUCCCCGAAAGGGGUGCUAAUACCGGAUAAUGUCUUCGGACCAAAGAUUUAUCGCCUUUGGAUGGGCCCGCGUUGGAUUAGCUAGUUGGUAGGGUAAAAGCCUACCAAGGCGACGAUCCAUAGCUGGUCUGAGAGGAUGAUCAGCCACACUGGGACUGAGACACGGCCCAGACUCCUACGGGAGGCAGCAGUGGGGAAUAUGGGACAAUGGGCGAAAGCCUGAUCCAGCAAUGCCGCGUGAGUGAUGAAGGCCUUAGGGUUGUAAAGCUCUUUUACCCGGGAUGAUAAUGACAGUACCGGGAGAAUAAGCUCCGGCUACUCCGUG